UUUGCCAUUUCAAAACACUACCAUUCAAAAUGACACUACAUGAGCUACUUGGCUAAUUACAUGUGCCACCUGGCCAAACACCUCAAUGGUUAAUUGUUAACACUUAAAUCAGGAUGUAAGCACUAUGAAAACCUUUAGACUGGAGAACAGGAUUGAGAGACGAAACCAUGGUGGAGGAAGGGGCCAAAUGUUCACCGGGGUACAGGAAGCUGCCAUUGUAAACUUGGUUUUGGAAAAUAAUGAAAUCAGAUUAUGAGAAUUUCAAACCACACCAUCCAAGACAACACCUUAUUUAACAACAUUCAACGAGUCAGUCUGUCCACAUUGGCUCGCAUUCUCAAGCGAAACCAAAUCAGAAUGAAACAAGAGUUCAGACGAGCAUAUGUGUAUGGAGUACUGUAAAUGGAUGCUCUUGCAAUCCCACAUGAGUUAAUCUUUAUAGAUGAGGUUGGGUUCAACCUAGCAAAGACCUGAAGAAGUGGGAGAAACAUCAUUGGCCACAGAGCCAUUGUAGAUGUUCCUGGCCAACGUGGUGGGAACAUCACAAUGUGCCCUGCCAUCUCCAGUAUGCAUUGUGUCCUCCACCGUCAUGCCAACCUUGCACCAUACAACACCGCCCAUAUUCUCACAUUUCUGGACUGACUUAACAAAAUUCUCAUACCACCAGAGCGUAUGAAUGAUGCAAACCAUCAAAGAAACCGGUACGUUGUAGUAUGGGACAACGUGAGCUUUCAUCGUGCAGCCCCAGUCCAAAACUUGUUUGCUGACCAACCAACAUUUCUCGUGCAAUACCUUCCACCAUACUCACCAUUUCUGCACCCCAUAGAAGAGUUUUUUUUUUUCUGCAUGGCAGUGGAAGGUAUACGACCCGCAGCUCUUUGUGCACAUGCCUCUUGUGCAGGCCAUGGAAGAGGCAUGUGAUGAGAUUGAUGUGGGUGCAAUUCAGGGAUGGAUAAGGCACUCAAGGUGCUUCUUCCCUCAAUGUCUGGCAAGGGAAGAUAUUGCCUCUGAUGUUGGCGAGGCGUUGUCUGUGCAUGUGAACAGUCUGAUACAUAUUUUCGUAUUAUGGCAAAGCAUACUAAAGAUGGGGGUGCCUUUCAUUAUGCCCAACAGUGGUAGUUGGUUAGGCAAAAAUCUGUAAUAUGAAUUGUGUGUGUGUGCCAUUUCAUGCAAAAGUUUGUCCUUGAUAAUGCUAUGUAGUUUCAAUUGCAGUGCUUCAUUUUGCAGAAUAUAUGAGGUAUUUUGCAGUUUGUGUUUGUGGUUUUGUGAAUUGUGUUAAUUAUUUUGAUAAAACCAGACUAGUAUGAAAAAUUGU